rnacentral:lncRNA from 10 species
GUCAAACUCCCAAGAGUUUGAGGUCGAAUUUGAUGGAACACCCAGAUGUCCUCAGCUGCCAUGGAGAAUACUUACCAUAUUUGCUUGCAUAUUUUCCCUAUUAUACUGGCAGACACUUUUAGUUGUUAACAUAGAGGAAAGAGGUAUUUAGGUUGUAACUUCCUCAAGCAGUUCUUUCCACAUCAUGUAGCUCUGGUCCAUGCCAUGUGUGCCAAUGGUAACCAAACCUUUCAUCCUGACCAUCACUAACUGGAUUGGCGUCCCAGCCAAAAGCAACCAAUCUCUGUGGAGAAAAGAGAAGCCAACGUCCUCUGAGAAGAGAGCUGAAGUUGCAAGGUAGACCACCACUCUGAAAUUGGGAGAGACAGGCAAAUCCAGAGAAGUACAGCUAAUAUUUGCAUAUCUGGAGCAGAAGCCACUUGGAGCCAUAAACUGUUAGGAACACUUAAAUGGUAAUUUUGAUGGUAAUUUUGAUAAAUUGCUAGAGGCUGAGUGUGAACUAGCAUGAGACUGAGAAAUUUCCAGGGCCACCGUCUUAGUAGAGCCCUCAUAUUUUCAUGGAUUCUAUUUCCAAAAACCUCAUUAGUUUCUCCCCUACUGGCUCUGGUGGGGUAGAGCAGGGGGAGAAAAUAAAUCUUUAUGAAAUAAAACCAAUGUAUGCUCCAUAGCAAAGGCAUCUCCAGGGACAAACAGGCUUUUCCAGAGCCUUAUCCCACCUGGGCAAAGGGCAUUGAUCCCCCUCUACUUUCCUCUAGCCUUCCUGUCUCACCUAACAGGGAGGAAAAAGUGAAGACACAGGCACACCAAACAAGACCUGUGGCCACAGGAACACAGGCCCACCAAAAGGCUGAGAUUUCAUCAUAGGAUUAUAGAAUACUUUCAUUCUGCAUACUAAUAUGCUCCCGUAUAAUGAAAGUAGAUUACAUGGACAAGAAUUGAAUAUAGAGAAGCACAAAACAAAUUUGUUGAAGUGAUGGAAAUGUCUCAUGUCUUAAUUAGGGUGACAAUAUUCUGGGUGUAUAAAUCCAUCAAAACACAUAGAACUGUCAUCUUAAAUCUGUGCAUUUUAUUUUACCUAAAUUAUACCAAAAUAAAAAACAUAUAAUGGGAAAAAAUACAUUAUAGCAGAAAGAGCUAUAAGAUACAGACUCUCUCUGAGCAGGAGUACUUAGGGAAACCCAAAGUCAACAAAGGAGACAGAAACAAGGACGUUAAAGGAAUUUGAAGCCUUUGGCACCUACAGCCACCAUAAACAUUAAAGACAUCCUAGCUCCCAGCCAGAUUAAUAUAAAAGCUUACACUAAAGGGCUAUUUAGAUUAUGUCUGACUUUCAACAACAGAAUGAAUUGGGAAGCAGUUUUUCUUUUUCUGUUCUUUGAGUUUGGUUACAAUUGGUAUUAUUAAUUCUUUACAUAUUUGGCACAAUCCACCAGUGAAGCCACUUGAGUCUAGAGUUUUCUUUAUGGGAAGUCUUUCACUAGUGGAUUCAAUUGUUUUAACAAAUAUAAGACUACUCAAAUUUUCUUACAUUUUUAGUGUCAGUUUGGGUACAUUGUGUAUUUUAAGGAAUUUACUAUUCACUGAAGUGUCAAAUAUAUUAGUAUUAAGUUUUCUUUUAGCAUUAGUAAGAUCUAUAGUUAAUGUUUACUUCUUUAUUUUCAAUAUUAGUAAUGUGUUUCCUCUCAAACAGUUUUACUGGCAUGUUAUUAAUUUUGUUAAACUUUUCAGAUAUCACUUUUGGCUAUUUUGAUGUUUUCUAUUCUAUUUUUUAUUUCACGACAUUUUCCUGGUGUCUUUAUUUUUACUUCCUUCUAUUUCCCUUGGAUUUUAUUUGAUGGUCUUUUUCUAGCUUUUUGAGAUAAAAGCUUAGAUCAUGAAUUUUUGGCUUUUAUUCUUUUCUAAUAUAUGUAAAUAAAACUAUAACUUUUCCUCUAAACUCUAUAGCUGCAUCUCACAAAUUUUC